AAUGCAGAGGAACCCAGUGUUUGGAGGAAGGGGCAGAGGAUUUUAUAGUGAAACCUGUUAAAUGAUCGGACGUGAAACGUUUGAAAGAUAAGUCUUCGAUGAUGAUGAUGUUCAUGUUCUUGUAAAGUCACUGCAGUGGAUGGUGGAAGGAGAGCUCUGCAAUUUCUAGGAUUGGAUGAUGAGGAAAAGAGCUAUGUUGGGUAUGAGUCGGCAGAGGAUUGCGCAGAUGAUGAUGAUGCUAAGAUUGGGAUUAGUCAGUUGAGGAAAAGUCUCCUAGAAAAGCUGAAAAUGCAUGGUUCAUUUGUCAAAAUCAAUGAGACAAUUCUUUUGUUCCAUAUGGCGAGUCUUGAGGCUACUACAACUAAUUGCUGGACCAAACAACAACAGUAAUGUGUUUAUGUGGAUGAGUGAGUGUGGUUAUUUAGAAUAACAAUCUAGAAAACUGGAACUCAAGAUCUAGCACUUGAAUUCCUAACCUCACUUAAAAAACUGCUAGUAGGCUAAGUGUGCUUCUUAUAUAUUUUUUGAUAAGUUAACUUUAUUCCUUAUUUUAUUAGCAAUGUUGGUCUCGAUCAAUUUUUCUAUUAAAAAUUAUUUCUUUUGAAGAUUGGGGUUCGGAUCCCAAAAAAAAAAGUAGAAAAAGAAAAACAGUUGGGUCCUGUUAGACUACUGGUUGUGGAUGAC